rnacentral:rRNA from 1 species
GACGAACGCUGGCGGCGUGCUUAACACAUGCAAGUCGAACGAGACGAUUGAAAGCUUGCUUUUAAAAGUCGAGUGGCAAACGGGUGAGUAACGCGUAGACAACCUGCCUUUGAGAUGGGGACAACAGUUCGAAAGGACUGCUAAUACCGAAUGUUGUAUAUUUUCCACAUGGAAGAUAUAUUAAAGAUGGCCUCUAUUUAUAAGCUAUCGCUCAAAGAUGGGUCUGCGUCUGAUUAGCUGGUUGGUGGGGUAACGGCCUACCAAGGCGACGAUCAGUAGCCGGUCUGAGAGGAUGAACGGCCACAUUGGGACUGAGACACGGCCCAGACUCCUACGGGAGGCAGCAGUGGGGAAUCUUCCACAAUGGACGAAAGUCUGAUGGAGCAACGCCGCGUGAGUGAAGAAGGGUUUCGGCUCGUAAAGCUCUGUUGUCGGGGACGAAUGUGCAGUAUUUGAAUAAAGUACUGCAAUGACGGUACCUGACGAGGAAGCCACGGCUAACUAUGUGCCAGCCGCCGCGGUAAAAC